rnacentral:rRNA from 1 species
AUUCCAGCUCCAAUAGCGUAUAUUAAAGUUGCUGCAGUUAAAAAGCUCGUAGUUGGAUUUGUGGCGCGGCCGUCCGGCGGGGCUCUUUCAUUAGGGCCGUUUGUCCGGUUUUUCGGCCGCUCCAUUCUCGGGUAGCGUGUCGCUGGCAUUAGGUUGUCGGCUUCUUCGCGCCCGUCGUUUACUGUGAAAAAAUUAGAGUGUUCAAAGCAGGCUUAGGCCGUUGGAUACAUUAGCAUGGAAUAAUGAGAUAGGGCCACGACGGUCUAUUUUGUUGGUUUGCACGUUGUGGUAAUGAUUAACAGGAACGGUUGGGGGUAUUCGUAUUCAAUUGUCAGAGGUGAAAUUCUUGGAUUUAUGGAAGACGAACUACUGCGAAAGCAUUUACCAAGGAUGUUUUCAUUA